AGUCGAGCGGACGGAUGGGAGCUUGCUCCCUGAAGUCAGCGGCGGACGGGUGAGUAACACGUGGGCAACCUGCCUGUAAGACUGGGAUAACUCCGGGAAACCGGGGCUAAUACCGGAUGCUUCUAUCGCUUCACAUGAGGGGGAGCUGAAAGAUGGUUUCGGCUAUCACUUACAGAUGGGCCCGCGGCGCAUUAGCUAGUUGGUGAGGUAACGGCUCACCAAGGCGACGAUGCGUAGCCGACCUGAGAGGGUGAUCGGCCACACUGGGACUGAGACACGGCCCAGACUCCUACGGGAGGCAGCAGUAGGGAAUCUUCCGCAAUGGACGAAAGUCUGACGGAGCAACGCCGCGUGAGUGAUGAAGGUUUUCGGAUCGUAAAACUCUGUUGUCAGGGAAGAACAAGUGCCGGACUAA
rnacentral:rRNA from 1 species